ensembl:lncRNA
CCAUUGUUGAACUGCGCCGGAAUUGUUCAUGCACAACGGCACUGAAUGCCAUGGACAAAUCCCGCCAAUGGAACCCGGAAGCGUGAUAAUCCCCUAUUGGCUAGUUGCGUAAGAUGGCGGUCUACAACCCCCGGUUAGAGGAAGGAUCUUCCCGGAGUAACAAUUAAUGAUGUUCAACGCAUCAUUCAGGCUGCGACAUCAGCACCAAGGAGUAAGCGAGAGAAGGGCUUCAAAAUGUUCAUCUCCACUUCUUACAUUGAUAAUUACGAAGAUUGUCCUUGAGGACUCCUCCCCUGUGCAGAUGAAUGAUGCAGAGUGUUCAUGUGUGGCUGGAACAGCACUGUGCAACCAUAAUGUUGCACUGCUGUUCCAGACUGCACACUACUCUCAGCUGAACAUUGCUGCUGUUCCCCCAGUCCUGAGUUGUACAGAGACAGAGCAACUCUGGCACAAGCCAAGAAUUAUGGUUGCUUAAAAAUCUGAAAUCAGUGGUGUGUGAUGAGUAAGGAAAAAUAAAAUCAGAAGUUAUGACAACGAGAUGUUUAUAGAUCAACCAUAAAUCUAUCAUGUGGCCUGUGGUAUUUUUUGUUCAAACACAGAAUGGUUGUUGCAUUUGACUUUUUUAUCAGAAUAAGCCAGUAGAG